rnacentral:rRNA from 1 species
UACGAAGGGGGCUAGCGUUGCUCGGAAUCACUGGGCGUAAAGGGUGCGUAGGCGGAUCUUUAAGUCAGGGGUGAAAUCCUGGAGCUCAACUCCAGAACUGCCUUUGAUACUGAGGAUCUCGAGUUCGGGAGAGGUGAGUGGAACUGCGAGUGUAGAGGUGAAAUUCGUAGAUAUUCGCAAGAACACCAGUGGCGAAGGCGGCUCACUGGCCCGAUACUGACGCUGAGGCACGAAAGCGUGGGGAGCAACAGG